CCGGUGAUGAUGACUCGACAACUGAAUUAUAUAUAAACCAACAAGUUCCUUAUGGUGUUGAAAAGUUCAGUGACAUAAUACACAUUAAACGCUCACUCACAACAAGAUUGUACAACCUGAGCAAGAUGGCACAGAUUAAGGAGUGCUCUACACUGUCAUCAAAAGUUAUUGAAUACCUUGUUAAGGUGGCUCCCUACAGUUAGUACAGUUUAAAUACGAUUUAUAUAGAUCAGACUUCAUCCUCGCGACCUGCGCGUGGAAUCGUCGUGUUUACUGUUCGGCAAAAAUAUUGAAACAAGCCGCGGGAAGUUUUUUGGCG